rnacentral:rRNA from 1 species
UACAGAGGUCCCAAGCGUUGUUCGGAUUCACUGGGCGUAAAGGGUGCGUAGGCGGUCGGGUAAGUCUGAUGUGAAAUCUCACAGCUUAACUGUGAAACUGCAUUGGAUACUAUCCGGCUAGAGGAAUGGAGGGGAGACUGGAAUACUUGGUGUAGCAGUGAAAUGCGUAGAUAUCAGGAGGAACACCGGUGGCGAAGGCGGGUCUCUGGGCCGAUACUGACGCUGAGGAGCGAAAGCGUGGGGAGCGAACAGG